GAUGAAGACGUAGCAAAAUGCGAUAAGUAAUGUGAAUUGCAGAAUUCAGUGAAUCAUCGAAUCUUUGAACGCACAUUGCGCCCGCCAGUAUUCUGGCGGGCAUGCCUGUUCGAGCGUCAUUUCAACCCUCAAGCACAGCUUGGUGUUGGGACUCGCGUUAAUUCGCGUUCCUCAAAUUGAUUGGCGGUCACGUCGAGCUUCCAUAGCGUAGUAGUAAAACCCUCGUUACUGGUAAUCGUCGCGGCCACGCCGUUAAACCCCAACUUCUGAAUGUUGACCUCGGAUCAGGUAGGAAUACCCGCUGAACUUAAGCAUAUCAAUAAGCGGAGGA
rnacentral:misc_RNA from 1 species